rnacentral:tRNA from 1 species
GCCUGGGUGGCUUGGUCAGUUAAGCGUCCGACUUCGGCUCAGGUCAUGAUCUCACAGUCCGUGGGUUCGAGCCCCACGUCGGGCU